AAUGUGAACCUCAACGUUCCGUGCCUUGGCUGCCAGCGGGGUAAUCGGGCUUUGCUCGGUUGCAUCUCGCAGCUGGGGUCGGCAUUGCUGCCGGCUUCAGUGGCGCUUUGGCAUGACUAUACACCAGUCUAACCACUGUCAAAACUUAAAUCUAAAGUUCUGACUGCUAGUAACUGGCGGUCUUAACCAAAGACAACUCUCAACAACGGAUAUCUUGGCUCUCGCAACGAUGAAGAACGCAGCGAAAUGCGAUACGUAGUGUGAAUUGCAGAAUUCCGUGAACCAUCGAAUCUUUGAACGCAUAUUGCGCUCGAGCCCUCGGGCAAGAGCAUGUCUGCCUCAGCGUCGGUUUACACCCUCACCCCUCCCACCUUGUGUGGGUCGGUUGGCUUUCUAGCCAACCUUGGGGUGGAUCUGGCUUCCCCAAUGCGCUUUUGCGGGUUGGGUUGGCUGAAGUGUAGAGGCUUAAACAAGGACCCGAUAUGGGCUGCAACUGGAUAGGUAGCACCGGCUUCUGCCGACUACACGAAGUUGUAGCUUGUGGACUUUGUUAGGGGCCAAGCAGGAAACGUGCUUGCACGUUCUAAACUU
rnacentral:misc_RNA from 1 species